GAAAUGCGAUAAGUAAUGUGAAUUGCAGAAUUCAGUGAAUCAUCGAGUCUUUGAACGCACAUUGCGCCCCCUGGUAUUCCGGGGGGCAUGCCUGUCCGAGCGUCAUUGCUGCCCUCAAGCACGGCUUGUGUGUUGGGCCCCCGUCCCCGGUUUCCCCCGGGGACGGGCCCGAAAGGCAGCGGCGGCACCGCGUCCGGUCCUCGAGCGUAUGGGGCUUUGUCACCCGCUCUGUAGGCCCGGCCGGCGCCAGCCGACACCCAACUUUAUUUCUAAGGUUGACCUCGGAUCAGGUAGGGAUACCCGCUGAACUUAA
rnacentral:misc_RNA from 1 species